GACGGACGCUGGCGGCGUGCUUAACACAUGCAAGUCGAGCGGAAAGGCCCUGCUUUUGUGGGGUGCUCGAGUGGCGAACGGGUGAGUAACACGUGAGUAACCUGCCCUUGACUUUGGGAUAACUUCAGGAAACUGGGGCUAAUACCGGAUAGGAGCUCCUGCUGCAUGGUGGGGGUUGGAAAGUUUCGGCGGUUGGGGAUGGACUCGCGGCUUAUCAGCUUGUUGGUGGGGUAGUGGCUUACCAAGGCUUUGACGGGUAGCCGGCCUGAGAGGGUGACCGGCCACAUUGGGACUGAGAUACGGCCCAGACUCCUACGGGAGGCAGCAGUGGGGAAUAUUGCACAAUGGGCGGAAGCCUGAUGCAGCAACGCCGCGUGCGGGAUGACGGCCUUCGGGUUGUAAACCGCUUUCGCCUGUGACGAAGCGUGAGUGACGGUAAUGGGUAAAGAAGCACCGGCUAACUACGUG
rnacentral:rRNA from 1 species